UACGGGGGGGGCAAGCGUUGUUCGGAAUUACUGGGCGUAAAGGGCUCGUAGGCGGCCAACUAAGUCAUACGUGAAAUCCCUCGGCUUAACCGGGGAACUGCGUCUGAUACUGCAUGGCUUGAGUUCGGGAGAGGGAUGCGGAAUUCCAGGUGUAGCGGUGAAAUGCGUAGAUAUCUGGAGGAACACCGGUGGCGAAGGCGGCAUCCUGGACCGAUACUGACGCUGAGGAGCGAAAGCCAGGGGAGCAAACGGG
rnacentral:rRNA from 1 species